CCACAUUCAUUCGAAAACAAUAUUUUGUGCCGGUAACAUCGCUAGAAUAAUUUUAACAUUAAUAUUUUUUACAAUUAUAUUUAUGUUACCUUUGCACUUUAAACGCGCUUUUACUUUUAUUUAUUUUAUACUAACAAAUUACGCAUAACAUUUAAAAUUUUAACCAAAAUAACGUGUUCCUAAAAAAUUAGCAACGUGUAGAUGACGCUAUAAAGAGUAUACAUAUAUUCUUGAUCAGUGCCGAGGCGAUAUAGCCAUGUCCGUCUGUCUGUCGGAUAAAAGAUGAGGACGAUAUCAAAGUCAACGGUGACGAUGCGGGAUGUUUUGAAAGCGAUCUAUUACUAAUUGCUGCCAAAAAUGACGUAAAGUGGAUAGAAAUGAUUUGGAUAAACAUGAAAAUAUUGUGAAAAGUCACAGAAAAAACAAACAAAAAUAUGCCGAAAGUAAGCUGAAAUUGGCGCAGAAAAGAUAAGAACUUGGCAAGCAAAAAUUGGAAGAGUUUCAAGCACAAUUGGAAAACCUGAAGGAGGAACACCACAAAGAAGUUGGUGAGCUGAAUAAGCAAGGGCGAACUUGAAACAGAAAAUGAGGCGAAAAUUAAAGAUAUUGUAAGCCAACAUUUAGCUUCUGCAGAAGAUGAAUAUUGGCUUACAAAAUCUUUAAUUUGCGCCUUAUUUUCCGCUUUGAUUCCGCUGGUGGAACUGGUGACCUUCAAGCAGACAAUGCAGAGGAAGCUGGAUACACUGCUCAAGGAGAAAGGAGCUUGGCAAUCGCAAACGCUUCUAAAGGACAAACACUCGUAUGAACUGCAGCGUGACAGAGAUCAAAGAUUUGUUAAACAGCAGAAGGCGAACAGCAACUCGACGAAUCGUUUUGCUAAACGAUUAUUUAUUAGAAUAUUUUACGAGAACAUUUUUUUUGCUUCCUCAAAUUUUAACAACGUUGUAAUUUACCGAGUUUUUAUGCGCAUCCUUUUUUGCGUCUUCUUCAAUUCGUUUC